rnacentral:misc_RNA from 1 species
UUGAAUAAAGUAGGGCGCUGUGCUGGCUUCUGCGGAGGCAUGUGCACGCGUUCCAAAACAUUCUACUUUUCUUUUGUGCACCUAGUGUGGGCUUUUGGAGCUGUGUGGAAGCAGUCUUUUAGGCUGUGGACCCGCUUCAGAAGACCAUUUUUAUAUCCUUUUAAAAAGUUAAACGCAAGUCUUCGUUACCUUUUGGUAGCAAAAAAGUUAUA